UACGUAGGGAGCAAGCGUUGUUCGGGUUUACUGGGCGUAAAGGGCGCGUAGGCGGCAAAUUAAGUCAGCUGUGAAAUCUCCGAGCUUAACUCGGAACUGUCAGCUGAUACUGAUCUGCUAGAGUGCGGAAGGGGCAAUCGGAAUUCUUGGUGUAGCGGUGAAAUGCGUAGAUAUCAAGAGGAACACCUGAGGUGAAGACGGGUUGCUGGGCCGACACUGACGCUGAGUGCGCGAAAGCCAGGGGAGCAAACGGG
rnacentral:rRNA from 1 species